rnacentral:rRNA from 1 species
GAUGAACGCUGGCGGCGUGCCUAAUACAUGCAGGUCGAGCGAACGGACGAGAAGCUUGCUUCUCUGAUGUUAGCGGCGGACGGGUGAGUAACACGUGGAUAACCUACCUAUAAGACUGGGAUAACUUCGGGAAACCGGAGCUAAUACCGGAUAAUAUUUUGAACCGCAUGGUUCAAAAGUGAAAGACGGUCUUGCUGUCACUUAUAGAUGGAUCCGCGCUGCAUUAGCUAGUUGGUAAGGUAACGGCUUACCAAGGCAACGAUGCAUACCCGACCUGAGAGGGUGAUCGGCCACACUGGAACUGAGACACGGUCCAGACUCCUACGGGAGGCAGCAGUAGGGAAUCUUCCGCAAUGGGCGAAAGCCUGACGGAGCAACGCCGCGUGAGUGAUGAAGGUCUUCGGAUCGUAAAACUCUGUUAUUAGGGAAGAACAUAUGUGUAAGUAACUGUGCACAUCUUGACGGUACCUAAUCAGAAAGCCACGGCUAACUACGUG